rnacentral:rRNA from 1 species
GACGAACGCUGGCGGCGUGCUUAACACAUGCAAGUCGAACGGAAAGGCCUGCUUUCCCUUGUGGAUUGCGGGUACUCGAGUGGCGAACGGGUGAGUAACACGUGAGUGAUCUGCCCCCAACUUGGGUAUAAGCCUGGGAAACUGGGUCUAAUUCCCGAUAGGACUGCAGGGUGGUGCCUGUGGUGGAAAACGAUUUUCUAGUGGUUGGGGAUGAGCUCGCGGCCUAUCAGCUUGUUGGUGGGGUAAUGGCCUACCAAGGCGGCGACGGGUAGCCGGCCUGAGAGGGUGGACGGCCACAUUGGGACUGAGAUACGGCCCAGACUCCUACGGGAGGCAGCAGUGGGGAAUAUUGCACAGUGGGCGGAAGCCUGAUGCAGCGACGCCGCGUGGGGGAUGACGGCCUUCGGGUUGUAAACUCCUUUCGACCGCGAGGAAGCCACCUGGUUGGAAGGGUGGUGACGGUAGUGGUAGAAGAAGCACCGGCUAACUACGUG